rnacentral:rRNA from 1 species
GACGAACGCUGGCGGCGUGCCUAAUACAUGCAAGUUGAGCGCUUAGGGUUUGUUCUUGUACCGUCUUCAUGUGCAGCGAACGUGUGUGUCACGCGUGUAGCCUCUCCUUUUCUGCGGGGUACCACCUUUAGACACGAAUUCUAAUACCGCAUAAACACUUUCUACACACUUUUUGAUUUUGAGUGAUGCCGUUUCAGCACUCAAGGAUGAAUCCGCAGUUUAUUAGCUUGUUGGUGGGGUAGAAGCUCACCAAGGCGAUGAUGGGUAGCAGGCCUGAGAGGGUGACCGGCCACAGUGGGACUGAGAUACGGACCAGACUCGUACGGGAGGCAGCAGUGGGGAAUAUUGCACAAUGGGAGGAAGCCUGAUGCAGGAACGCCGCGUGCGAGAUGACGGCCGUCGGGGUGUAAACCGAUUUCGCCUGUGACGAAGCGUGAGUGACGGUAAUGGGUAAAGAAGCAACGGCUAACUACGUG